rfam:Helianthus annuus linkage group 1, whole genome shotgun sequence.
UAUUGAAAUGAUGAUGGAAAUUGUUUUCCCUAUUGGUUUGACUGUCAAUAUGAUGGCAACAAUGUAUUAGCUCUAUCUGAUCUAUC